rnacentral:rRNA from 1 species
CACGUAGGCGGACUCUUAAGUCGGGGUGAAAGCCCAGGGCUCAACCCUGGAACUGCCUUCGAUACUGGGAGUCUUGAGUAUGGUAGAGGUUGGUGGAACUGCGAGUGUAGAGGUGAAAUUCGUAGAUAUUCGCAAGAACACCAGUGGCGAAGGCGGCCAACUGGACCAUUACUGACGCUGAGGUGCGAAAGCGUGGGGAGCAAACA